GGUCGCGCGGGAAUCUCAUUAUUUUAAUCGUGUGUAAUAUUGUGAAUUUUGAUUUUCCUGCUUCAAUAUUCGUUGCAUAUGGUUUACCGACGCUGGAAUUAUCGACGCUGGGAUUAUCGACGCUGGAAUUAUCGACGCUGGGAUUAUCGACGUUGGAUUUAUCGACGCAAGAUUUAUCGACGCUGGAUUUAUCGACGGAUUUUAUCUGUCUAAUGUCUGCAGUUAUCUUCCUCACAAGUAUCACUGCUACCGAUAACAAUUAUCAUUCGUGUAGAUAUACUUUUUCAGUAAAGUAUAUAGAUAACACAUGGUGCCAACAUCGAUGUUGGCGUACGAUGCGACGUGGGACCGAUGAGAAUAAAAGUGCGCGCCUGCGUGUAUUCGUGAAAGAGAAAUAAACGAAGAAAUGGAACCGAUGAAACGUCGUUCGAAGAAAUCUUUCAUCGAUGGAUGAAUCAAUGCUCGGUCCGUCGUUGAAAAAAAGACUUACGUUCGUCGCGUGAUUAUGUGGGCCAACCAUCUGUCCUAUGCCCUGGUGUCCCUGAAGAGGAUUGUGACCAGGAUGAACGUUCUGUCCAGGUG